AGAACGAACGCUGGCGGCAGGCCUAACACAUGCAAGUCGAACGCUCGUAGCAAUACGAGAGUGGCAGACGGGUGAGUAACACGUGGGAACCUUCCCUAUGGUUCGGAAUAGCUCAGGGAAACUUGAGGUAAUACCGGAUAAGCCCUUACGGGGAAAGAUUUAUCGCCAUUGGAUGGGCCCGCGUCGGAUUAGCUAGUUGGUGAGGUAACGGCUCACCAAGGCGACGAUCCGUAGCUGGUCUGAGAGGAUGAUCAGCCACACUGGGACUGAGACACGGCCCAGACUCCUACGGGAGGCAGCAGUGGGGAAUAUUGGACAAUGGGCGCAAGCCUGAUCCAGCCAUGCGCGUGAGUGACGAAGGCCUUAGGUUGUAAAGCUCUUUUGGCGGGGAAGAUAAUGACGGUACCCGCAGAAUAAGCUCCGGCUAAACUUCGUGCCAGCAAGCCGC
rnacentral:rRNA from 1 species